GAUCAUGGCUCAGAACGAACGCUGGCGGCGCGUUUAAGCAUGCAAGUCGAGCGGCAAGGGCCUUCGGGCCCCUAGAGCGGCGGACGGGUGAGUAACACGUGGACAAUCUGCCCCCCGGCCCGGGAUAGCCCAGGGAAACCUGGAUUAAUACCGGAUGAGACGGGACCCGCGAUGGCGGGACCCGGGAAAGGCGCUGCGGCGCCGCCGGGGGAUGAGUCUGCGUCCCAUUAGCUAGACGGCGGGGUAACGGCCCACCGUGGCGACGAUGGGUAGCCGGCCUGAGAGGGUGGACGGCCACAUUGGAACUGAGACACGGUCCAGACUCCUACGGGAGGCAGCAGCUAAGAAUCUUCCGCAAUGGGCGAAAGCCUGACGGAAGCGACGCCGCGUGAACGAAGAAGGCCGUGAGGUUGUAAAGUUCUUUUCGGGAGGGGGAACAACCGUGGCAGGGAAUGGCCGCGGGAUGACGUGAAUCCCGGAAUAAGCCCCGGCUAACUACGUGCCAGCCGCCGC
rnacentral:rRNA from 1 species